UGUUGAGCUUGGAUGCCGCCGUCGCCAC
rnacentral:sRNA from 1 species